UACAGAGGUCCCAAGCGUUGUUCGGAUUCACUGGGCGUAAAGGGUGCGUAGGCGGUCGGGUAAGUCUGAUGUGAAAUCUCACAGCUUAACUGUGAAACUGCAUUGAUACUAUCCGGCUCGAGGAAUGGAGGGGAGACUGGAAUACUUGGUGUAGCAGUGAAAUGCGUAGAUAUCAAGUGGAACACCAGUGGCGAAGGCGAGUCUCUGGACAUUUCCUGACGCUGAGGCACGAAAGCCAGGGGAGCAAACGGG
rnacentral:rRNA from 1 species